AGUGAACGCUGGCGGUAGGCCUAACACAUGCAAGUCGAACGGCAGCACAGUAAGAGCUUGCUCUUACGGGUGGCGAGUGGCGGACGGGUGAGGAAUACAUCGGAAUCUACUUUUUCGUGGGGGAUAACGUAGGGAAACUUACGCUAAUACCGCAUACGACCUACGGGUGAAAGCAGGGGAUCUUCGGACCUUGCGCGAUUGAAUGAGCCGAUGUCGGAUUAGCUAGUUGGCGGGGUAAAGGCCCACCAAGGCGACGAUCCGUAGCUGGUCUGAGAGGAUGAUCAGCCACACUGGAACUGGGACACGGUCCAGACUCCUACGGGAGACAGCAGUGGGGAAUAUUGGACAAUGGGCGCAAGCCUGAUCCAGCCAUACCGCGUGGGUGAAGAAGGCCUUCGGGUUGUAAAGCCCUUUUGUUGGGAAAGAAAAGCAGCAGGUUAAUACCCCGCUGUUCUGACGGUACCCAAAGAAUAAGCACCGGCUAACUUCGUG
rnacentral:rRNA from 1 species